UGGCUGUCGUCAGCUCGUGUCGUGAGAUGUUGGGUUAAGUCCCGUAACGAGCGCAACCCUUGUCCUUAGUUACCAGCACGUUAUGGUGGGCACUCUAAGGAGACUGCCGGUGACAAACCGGAGGAAGGUGGGGAUGACGUCAAGUCAUCAUGGCCCUUACGGCCAGGGCUACACACGUGCUACAAUGGUCGGUACAAAGGGUUGCCAAGCCGCGAGGUGGAGCUAAUCCCAUAAAACCGAUCGUAGUCCGGAUCGCAGUCUGCAACUCGACUGCGUGAAGUCGGAAUCGCUAGUAAUCGUGAAUCAG
rnacentral:rRNA from 9 species